GAAGUGGCUCCUUCUUCUCUUCCUGUCAAAUUGGCCAUUUUGACAUCUAUUAACUAAUACACGGCUGCCGUAACAAAUGACAACACACUGGGUGGCUGACAAAAGAAAUGUGUUCUCUCACAGUUCUGGAAACUAGAGGUCUGAAAUCAAGCAGAAAUGAAGCGGCAAAGCUGAAGAUGUAGUGCACCGAUCUUCCUUCAGAUUCUGCGAAAACCUCUCUAGUGAACAUGCCUUAUUCAAAGAUAUUUUUUCAUCUCAAUUUGCAUACAUGGUCAAUAAAUAC